rnacentral:rRNA from 1 species
AUUGAACGCUGGCGGCAUGCUUUACACAUGCAAGUCGAACGGUAACAGGCCGCAAGGUGCUGACGAGUGGCGCACGGGUGAGUAAUGCAUCGGAACGUGCCCAGUCGUGGGGGAUAACUACUCGAAAGAGUAGCUAAUACCGCAUACGAUCUAUGGAUGAAAGCGGGGGACCGUAAGGCCUCGCGCGAUUGGAGCGGACGAUGUCAGAUUAGGUAGUUGGUGGGGUAAAGGCUCACCAAGCCAACGAUCUGUAGCUGGUCUGAGAGGACGACCAGCCACACUGGGACUGAGACACGGCCCAGACUCCUACGGGAGGCAGCAGUGGGGAAUUUUGGACAAUGGGCGCAAGCCUGAUCCAGCAAUGCCACGUGCAGGAAGAAGGCCUUCGGGUUGUAAACUGCUUUUGUACGGAACGAAACGGCGCUGGUUAAUACCCGGGGCUAAUGACGGUACCGUAAGAAUAAGCACCGGCUAACUACGUG